AUACGGAGGAUCCGAGCGUUAUCCGGAUUUAUUGGGUUUAAAGGGAGCGUAGGCGGACGCUUAAGUCAGUUGUGAAAGUUUGCGGCUCAACCGUAAAAUUGCAGUUGAUACUAGGUGUCUUGAGUACAGUAGAGGCAGGCGGAAUUCGUGGUGUAGCGGUGAAAUGCUUAGAUAUCACGAAGAACUCCGAUUGCGAAGGCAGCCUGCUGGACUGUAACUGACGCUGAUGCUCGAAAGUGUGGGUAUCAAACAGGAUUAGAUACCCUGGUAGUCCACACAGUAAACGAUGAAUACUCGCUGUUUGCGAUAUACAGUAAGCGGCCAAGCGAAAGCGUUAAGUAUUCCACCUGGGGAGUACGCCGGCAACGGUGAAACUCAAAGGAAUUGACGGGG
rnacentral:rRNA from 1 species